rnacentral:rRNA from 1 species
UAAUGGUGGGCACUCUAAGGAGACUGCCGGUGACAAACCGGAGGAAGGUGGGGAUGACGUCAAGUCAUCAUGGCCCUUACGGCCUGGGCUACACACGUGCUACAAUGGUCGGUACAGAGGGUUGCCAAGCCGCGAGGUGGAGCUAAUCUCACAAAACCGAUCGUAGUCCGGAUCGCAGUCUGCAACUCGACUGCGUGAAGUCGGAAUCGCUAGUAAUCGCGAAUCAGAAUGUCGCGGUGAAUACGUUCCCGGGCCUUGUACACACCGCCCGUCACACCAUGGGAGUGGGUUGCACCAGAAGUAGCUAGUCUAACCUUCGGGAGGACGGUUACCACGGUGUGAUUCAUGACUGGGGUGAAGUCGUAACAAGGUAGCCGUAGGGGAACCUGCGGCUGGAUCACCUCCUUAAUCGACGACA